rnacentral:tRNA from 1 species
UGGGGGAAAAACUCAAAGGUUGAGUGUUAGUUUGUCACAUUAGAAGUUGCGGGUUCGAGUCCCGUUUCUCCCGU